AUAAUUCUACGUAAUCUUAUUCCGUUAAGAAAACUUGUUAUAACCUUAUCAGAAAUUAAAACAACUUUCAAUGCUAUAAGAAGAGAGGUAAAAUCAUUUUAUACAAUACGAAACUCUCACCUCUCUGCAAGGCGUUCCAGAAACAAGCGAUACGUGAUCUGUGGAGCAGCUCCAACGAAAACACCACCCACAAAAUGGACAACUCCAACAGGAUCUCCUUUGCUCGGUCUUAGAAUCCAUGCUCCCUGGAGAAGGGAAACAAAAUCACCAGUGCUCUCCCCGCGAAAGAAAAAAAAAAGAAAAGAUAGAGCUUACUUGGAUUUCUUGCCAGCGUCCAAGAGUUCCUUGUGCUUUCAUCGCAGAGUUCACAAAAACCCUGGAAAGAAAGAAGAACAAGCAUGAAAACGAGGCAAUUCAUCGAAAUUCUUUCACCAGCAUACUUCUCGAUCUGUCCUUAGAGCUGGAGGCUACCAUUCUUUCCUUGCGGCUUCCCUUGGAACUCGAGGAGCUAGAAAACCUGGGAUUGUCUCGUCGCCGGCACCAUGACGCUGCCGCGGUCGCGAAUCCAGUGCCUGCCCUGGCAGAAGAAG
rnacentral:lncRNA from 1 species